UUUUAUGGAUGAGCAAAGAAAAUGGUUUUUUGAGAUGAAAUCUACUCCUGGUAAAGAUCCUGUGAA
rnacentral:pre_miRNA from 1 species